UACGUAGGGUGCGAGCGUUGAUCGGAAUUACUGGGCGUAAAGCGUGCGUAGGCGGUUUUGUAAGUCAGAUGUGAAAUCCCCGGGCUUAACCUGGGAAUGGCAUUUGGGACUGCAAGGCUAGAGUGUGGCAGAGGAGACUGGAAUUCCUGGUGUAGCAGUGAAAUGCGUAGAUAUCAGGAGGAAUACCGAUGGCGAAGGCAGGUCUCUGGGCUAACACUGACGCUCAUGCACGAAAGCGUGGGGAGCAAACAGG
rnacentral:rRNA from 1 species